rnacentral:misc_RNA from 1 species
GUACGCCGUCGUUGCGCACUUUUCUUCGCUCUUUACACGCACACAAACCAGACUCAAUUCGCGGCACCGCUGCCGGUAUAAGACACAAACUAUAGACAUCAAUCAACAUCCCUCCGCCUCCCCUCGUUUCGCGAUGCCGUCGGCGGAGUCGUGCAUGUGUCACUGCCGUGCCUCUCGCCGGAGGCGACCCGUGCCACAACCGAGCAGACCACCGUGCUGCUGCGAGGAGCGAUGUACCUGCACCCAUUACCACGGCAGCGGCCCAACGGCUCCGUCGCAGUCCUUUCCUGCACAGAGCAGCAGCCAAGGCGCGCGGCACAGUGGCACCCCCCACGGCGGUCGGGCUAGUCACAUCGAUGCCACUGCUCACAUCGGCCCGCACUCGUUUCGGCGUUGCCCUGUGUGCAUUCCUGAGCAAGCAGAGCUACAAGAGGCGGACCUUCUCACCCUUCAGCAGCGCUGCGAGGAGGCCCGCGUCGCCGAUCGGCGGCGGAAGUCCGCCCUGACCCAUGUGUUUGGGCAGCGCGGCCACCGUGGCGGCGGGCGCAACUCCUACCAGUCUAACACGGCGGAGAUGCUGCGCCGCCAGCGCAACUCUUUCUACCAAAGAGCGGUGGAUGACGAAUACAUGGCGCGACGCCGCAUGCUGCAGGCCGAGCUCGACGCACGACACAACGAGAUCGUCAAGACGCAGCGGGCGCGCGAGACGCUGCGCAUGGAGGCUGCCUUAAGCAACGCGCGGGAGGAUCGGCGGAGGGGUUGCGGCCCCCGUGCCUGCUCCCUCCAGAGAGCAUGUAGUGCCGACCCUGCCGCGGGCGCUCGCUUCUCCACGCCGCCACCGCAGCGCAAGGAGCAGCCACCAUCGCUACCAAGUCACAGCAAGGACAGCGACCAUGCUGUGCCACCGUCGACGCAACCGAAGAUCGAGUACCCAGCGCUAUUGCCAAAGGCAGAAAAACGUCCGCCGCCACCGCCGCCACCACCGCCACCGCCGCCACCACCGCCACCACCGCCACCGCCACUGCCGCCAACGCACCGCGACCGUGAAUCAUCACCGCAGCGGCAGCAUCGUGAGAGGGUGUGCAGCCACGGGCCUGCGCCGUUGGCGACCUGCUGCGCCGACUUUCACAACUCCUCCGCGCAGGGGCAGUGGCACUGGGGAUGGAUCUGGUGUCCGUCUUUGGCAUGUCACGGGCAUCACCCCUCUCAGUCUCCACGUAAUCACGUGAGGCUCCUCCCUUCUCCACCCGCUUGCGAAGCGCCGAUGCCGUCACAUGAUUUGAAGCCGACAUCUCCUCAGACCUCUCCGACGACUGGGGAAGACGCGGCGAGCGAUCACGCUAAGCCGGAGAAGUCGCUGGAUUGCUUAGAGCGUGACGUUGCUGCAGGAGUCCCUACUAACCCACCGCAGCCGAGCAGUGCUGUCUCAGCCGCUGGUGCCGAUUGUGGUGCCGCAUGCCGUGCAGGGAAGGGCCGUCCCGAGAGCGUGCGUGGUGGGUCCUCGCGAUUCCGCAGCCACAGCGCCACCUCCGUGCCCUUGACCGCUCCUCGGUUUGGCCGCAAAGUGUUCAUCACGGAUGACGUCUACUGCGAUCGCCGUGCCCGUUACAUGGCCCAGUGGGAGGCGUCUGGUGCGGUGCAGCGAGUCCCAACCUCGUCGCGAAGCCCUAGUGCUCCUCUCCCAGAGAAGACCCCCAAGUGGCGCACCACUGGAAACGAUGCUUGCACCGAGUAGUCUGCUGGAUCGCCAUUCGGCGGCUGCUCGCCGCCCCAUCGAUUGUAUCUUGGGUUGAUGGCCCGCUUUUCCGCGUCUUGUUUGCUAGCUUGGGUGUGAUAAACACGCUUUACUACUCUCUGUUAUCAUGUUGCACUUCCUUUCUCAUCUCCAGCACCCCCCCUCCCCCUGCCCUGCUGCAUGCCUCGUUGAACAUUGUGAAGGCUCUGCCUUCCUGCGGCGCCACCGCUGUAAGCCAGUGGCACCGACCCUUCCGCGAAAGAGACCCACACGUGCAUGGGGGCGUUUGUUUUUCCGGUUAACUCGCUAUCAUCCAGGUGCCCCGCCCACGGAGGCGCACGAAGUGUGUGAUGACACGUGCAUGCACUUUGUAUUAUCUGUAGCUGUACUGUUUCUUUCUUCGAGUUGUGAUGUGGAGAGUAAGCAAGAGGAGGAGCCGCCACGGAGGCCCAUACACCCACACGCAGACACCCCGAGAGAGGAUCCCGUGAGGCAAGGGAAAAACAGCGGGGUGUGCUGCUGCGAUUGGGUGUGUGGCCUCUUCCACCAGUGUUCCUGCUCCUCGCCUCACGCGAGAGGACGGCCUCGCGCUCUUUCUGUUUCCGGGAGCACGUGCGUUUAUACGGGGACCGCAUAGAUCUACAGCGCGUCAAGUUGGUGUUCAUAUUUCUUUUCUGUGUUUGCUCUGAAUGUGUGAAGCUUGCUCGCUUCCUUGGCUCCGCUCUCUCUCGCAGAUGAGGUGCGGCACCCGGCUACCCGACUUCUAGAAGGCGCAGAAGAAGGCAUGCGCAGCCAACACACGCACACACCGGCGCUUUUUUCUCUCGUGUUUUGCUGGGCAUCUCCGCUCGCGGCCUUGUACCGCCGUCUCAGGUCAGCGCUCGCGCUCCCUCCUGCACGGCCCGCAUGUUGCUCGACCUUGUAUCCUCUCGCUCGCUUUGUCUUCUCUUGUUGUGUUAUACCUCCCCGAUAGACGUGCCCGCUCACCCCGCUGCGAUGCCCUUUCUUCUUGUAUAUAUUUCCGUUUGUGCGCUGCCACCUUCCAUGCAAACAUUAGCGAAGGGGUGCCGAAGAGUCGCAUACUAUGCUGUGCCUGAUGUGCCCCCCCCCAACACACACACACACCCGCGUCCCAUCAGCUGUGCCUUCUCUCUCUCUGUGUGUGUAUGCUAUACCUGUGGAGGAGGAGGUCAGCUCACCGGCCGACAGUGACGUACAUGGAGGGCGAGCCCACUAUCCCCAAAACGAAAGACAUGCCGCUCACGAACUCGCGCCUCGUGCGGCCUAGUUUAUGCUCCAUGAGCACUGUUUUCGCCCCCUCCCUCGCCCCCCGCCUCCCGAUCCUCCCCUGGUAUCCUUGCUGAGAUGCAUCCUGUCUGCCAAGCAGCGCGCAUUGCCUGUGUAGCCACUUAUUGCACUCUCUCGCAAAUCCCCACUCCCUCUGACCUCGUCCCUUUCCUUUCUUCACACCUCUCUGCUGCUGGUGCUGCUGCGGUUGUGUUCAAAGAAAGGGACGGCAGUGAAAGCACGUUGACACCCCGACAUACACACACCAGUCACAAACUGAGUCAGCUGCUGCUCAUCUUCGAUAUCCUCUUCCGUCGAGCGCGCCCCUUUCCAUCUAUCAAAC